UACGUAGGGCGCAAGCGUUGUCCGGAAUUAUUGGGCGUAAAGAGCUCGUAGGCGGUCUGUUACGUCCGCUGUGAAAACCCAUAGGGCUUAACCCUGGGCUUGCAGUGGAUACGGGCAGACUAGAGGCAGGUAGGGGAGAAUGGAAUUCCCGGUGUAGCGGUGAAAUGCGCAGAUAUCGGGAGGAACACCGGUGGCGAAGGCGGUUCUCUGGGCCUGACCUGACGCUGAGGAGCGAAAGCGUGGGGAGCGAACAGG
rnacentral:rRNA from 1 species